rnacentral:rRNA from 1 species
UUUUGNNNUGGGCCNGUUCAUUCUGUCCGNNCCGGAAGCUGACNCGUUNAAUAUGCCNCCUGGGGGAGUACACUCGCAAGGAUGAAACUCAAAGGAAUUGACGGGGGGCCCGCCACCAAGCGGUGGAGCAUGUGGNUUCNAUUCGACGCAACCGCGAAGAAACCUUACUUGGGCUCGAACCGGCUUNUCAACGCNCGGUGGAAACACUGGUAUCCCCCCAAGGGAGUGGAGUCGANGUNCNGCCAUGGCUGUAGUCAGCCUCGUGUCGUGAGANGNUGGGCUAAGUCCCGCCAACGAGCGCGAACCGNUGUCCUGUGUUGCCAUCAUUCAGUUGGGAACUCGCAGGAGACCGCCAGCGAUAAGCUGGAGGAAGGNGGGGAUGACGUCAAGUCCUCAUGGCCUUUAUGUNCCAGGGCUACACACGUGGAACAAUGGACGGUACAAAGCGCAGCAAACCCGCGAGGGGGAGCCAAUCGCAAAAAACCGUUCUCAGUGCGGAUUGCAGGCUGCAACUCGCCUGCAUGAAGCUGGAAUCGCNAGUAAUGGCAGAUCAGCACGCUGCCGUGAAUACGUUCCCGGGCCUUGUACACACCGCCCGUCACAUCACGAAAGUGGAUUGUACUAGAAGUCUGCAGGCUAACCCGCCAAGGGGGGCAGCGGCCCAAGGUAUGAUCCAUGAUUGGGGUGAAGUCGUAANNAGGUACC